rnacentral:misc_RNA from 1 species
GUGAAUCAUCGAAUCUUUGAACGCAUAUUGCGCCCGCGGCUUCGGCCAAGGGCAUGUCUGCCUCAGCGUCGGGUUAAUACUCGUCCCACAACUCCCCUUCUGGGUGAAGUUGUUUGGGACGGAUCUGGCUGUCUCAGCUUUUCAUUAGGCUGGGUCGGCUGAAGUGCAGAGGCUUGUUCAAGGACCCGUAAAGGGCCACAGCUGGUUAGGCAGUGAUGCUAAACGAUUAGCUGUUGGCCUGGGACCUGGGCGAGCCCUCAACAAGGAAACUCAUUAACUUAUUUCCUCGACCUGAGCUCA